UACGGAGGGUGCAAACGUUGCUCGGAAUCAUUGGGCGUAAAGCGCACGUAGGCGGCUUGUUAAGUCGGAUGUGAAAUCCCUCGGCUCAACCGAGGAAGUGCAUUCGAAACUGGCAGGCUUGAAUAUGGAAGAGGGUCGCGGAAUUCCCGGUGUAGAGGUGAAAUUCGUAGAUAUCGGGAGGAACACCAGUGGCGAAGGCGGCGACCUGGGCCAAUAUUGACGCUGAGGUGCGAAAGCGUGGGGAGCAAACAGG
rnacentral:rRNA from 1 species